UACGAAGGGGGCUAGCGUUGUUCGGAAUUACUGGGCGUAAAGAGCGCGCAGGCGGUCGUUCAAGUCGCGUGUGAAAGCCCCCGGCUCAACUGGGGAGGGUCACGCGAUACUGAUCGACUCGAAGGCAGGAGAGGGUAGUGGAAUUCCCGGUGUAGUGGUGAAAUGCGUAGAUAUCGGGAGGAACACCAGUGGCGAAGGCGACUACCUGGCCUGUUCUUGACGCUGAGGCGCGAAAGCUAGGGGAGCAAACGGG
rnacentral:rRNA from 1 species